rnacentral:rRNA from 1 species
AGUGAACGCUGGCGGUAGGCCUAACACAUGCAAGUCGAACGGCAGCACAGUAAGAGCUUGCUCUUACGGGUGGCGAGUGGCGGACGGGUGAGGAAUACAUCGGAAUCUACUUUUUCGUGGGGGAUAACGUAGGGAAACUUACGCUAAUACCGCAUACGACCUACGGGUGAAAGCAGGGGAUCUUCGGACCUUGCGCGAUUGAAUGAGCCGAUGUCGGAUUAGCUAGUUGGCGGGGUAAAGGCCCACCAAGGCGACGAUCCGUAGCUGGUCUGAGAGGAUGAUCGGCCGCACUAGAGCUGGAACACGGUCCAGACGCCUACGGGAGGCAGCAGAGGGGAAUAUUGGGCAGUGGGCGCAAGUCUGAUCCAGCCAUACCGCGUGGGUGAAGGAGGCCUUCGGGUUGUGAAGCCCUUUUGUUGGGAAAGAAAAGCAGCAGGUUAAUACCCCGCUGUUCUGACGGUACCCAAAGAAUAAGCACCGGCUAACUUCGUG